AACGAACGCUGGCGGCAUGCCUAACACAUGCAAGUCGAACGAGACCUUCGGGUCUAUUGGCGCACGGGUCCUUAAGCCGUGGGAACCUCCCCUUGGGUUCGAAAUACCUCCCCGAAGGGGGUCCUAAUACCGGUAAAGGUCUUCGGACCAAGGAUUUAUCGCCUUGGGAUGGGCCCGGGUUGGAUUGGCUGGUUGGUAGGGUAAAAGCCUAGCAAGGGCACGAUCCAUAGCUGGUCUGAGAGGAUGAUCAGCCACACUGGGACUGAGACACGGCCCAGACUCCUACGGGAGGCAGCAGUGGGGAAUAUUGGACAAUGGGCGAAAGCCUGAUCCAGCCAUGCCGCGUGAGUGAUGCAGGCCUUAGGGUUGUAAAGCUCUUUUACCCGGGAUGAUAAUGACAGUACCGGGAGAAUAAGCUCCGGCUAACUACGUG
rnacentral:rRNA from 1 species